UAAGUCCCGCAACGAGCGCAACCCUUAUCUUCAGUUGCCCUUAUUAAGUUAGGCACUCUGGAGAGACUGCCGGUGAUAAACCGGAGGAAGGUGGGGAUGACGUCAAGUCCUCAUGGCCCUUAUGGGCUGGGCUACACACGUGCUACAAUGGCAACUACAACGGGCAGCAAUGGCGCGAGCCGGAGCGAAUCCCUGAAAAGUUGUCUCAGUUCGGAUUGUUCUCUGCAACUCGAGAGCAUGAAGUCGGAAUCGCUAGUAAUCGCAGAUCAGCGUGCUGCGGUGAAUACGUUCCCGGGCCUU
rnacentral:rRNA from 1 species